AUUGAACGCUGGCGGCAGGCCUAACACAUGCAAGUCGAGCGAGCGGCGGACGGGUGAGUAAUGUAUGGGGAACUGCCCGAUAGAGGGGGAUAACUACUCGAAAAGGUAGCUUAUACCGCCUACUAUCGGAUGCACCCGUAUGGGAUGAGCUAGUAGGGGGGGUAAAGGCGCACCUGGGCGACGAUCCCUAGCUGGUCUGAGAGGAGGAUUGGCCACACUGGAAAUGAGACACGGUCCAGACUCCUACGGGAGGCAGCAGUGGGGAAUAUUGCACAAUGGGCGCAAGCCUGAUGGAGCCAUGCCGCGUGUAUGAAGAAGGCCUUAGGGUUGUAAAGUACUUUCAGCGGGGAGGCGUUACCCGCAGAAGAAGCACCGGCUAACUCCGUGCCAGCAGCCGCGGUAAUUC
rnacentral:rRNA from 1 species